UCGUUACUCGAUUUGAGCGGAAAUCCUUUUUGUGGAGCAAAGCGGAACAAAAAAAUUGGGAGCGGAAGGCGGAUUAAGC
rnacentral:sRNA from 1 species